rnacentral:rRNA from 1 species
AGAGUUUGAUCAUGGCUCAGAAUCAACGCUGGCGGCGUGCCUCAGACAUGCAAGUCGAACGCGAAAGUUUCCUUCGGGAGAUGAGUAGAGUGGCGCACGGGUGAGUAACACGUAGGUAAUCUGCCUUUGGGUGGGGAAUAACAGCCGGAAACGGCUGCUAAUACCGCAUAAUGCAGCGGCACCACAUGGUGACAGUUGUUAAAGCGGGGGAUCUCGCAAGAGACCUCGCGCCUGAAGAGGAGCCUGCGGCAGAUUAGCUAGUUGGUGAGGUAAAGGCUCACCAAGGCUGUGAUCUGUAGCCGGCCUGAGAGGGCGGUCGGCCACACUGACACUGACAUACGGGUCAGACUCCUACGGGAGGCAGCAGUCGGGAAUUUUGGGCAAUGGGCGAAAGCCUGACCCAGCAACGCCGCGUGAAGGAUGAAAUCCCUCGGGAUGUAAACUUCGCAAGAAUGGGAAGAAUAAGUGAGAGUCAACACCUCUCAUGAUGACGGUACUAUUUGUAAGCUCCGGCUAACUCCGUGCCAGCAGCCGCGGUAAUACGGGGGGAGCAAGCGUUGUUCGGAUUUACUGGGCGUAAAGGGCGCGUAGGCGGCCACAACAAGUCACUUGUGAAAUCUCCGGGCUUAACUCGGAACGGUCAAGUGAUACUGUUGGGCUAGAGUGCGGAAGGGGCAACUGGAAUUCUCGGUGUAGCGGUGAAAUGCGUAGAUAUCGAGAGGAACACCUGCGGCGAAGGCGGGUUGCUGGGCCGACACUGACGCUGAGGCGCGAAAGCUAGGGGAGCGAACGGAAUUAGAUACCCCCGUAGUCC